rnacentral:misc_RNA from 1 species
GAUGAAGAACGGAGCGAAAUGCGAUAAGUAAUGUGAAUUGCAGAAUUCAGUGAAUCAUCGAAUCUUUGAACGCACAUUGCGCCCGCCAGUAUUCUGGCGGGCAUGCCUGUUCGAGCGUCAUUUCAACCAUCAAGCCCCCGGCGUGUGUUGGGGACCUGCGGCUGCCGCAGGCCCUGAAAACCAGUGGCGGGCUCGCUAGUCACUCCGAGCGUAGUAAUACAUCUCGCUCAGGGCGUGCUGCGGGUUCCGGCCGUUAAAAAGCCUUAUUUACCCAAGGUUGACCUCGGAUCAGGUAGGAAGACCCGCUGAACUUAAGCAUAUCAAUAAGCGGAGGA